rnacentral:tRNA from 1 species
UCUAAUGUGACAGAAUAAUGUAAUGAAUUUAAGAUUCAUAAAUAAAGAGCCUUCUUUCAUUAGAA